AAUAGAUACCCCGGUAGUCCAUGCCGUAAACGUUGGGCACUAGGUGUGGGGGACAUUCCACGUUUUCCGCGCCGUAGCUAACGCAUUAAGUGCCCCGCCUGGGGAGUACGGCCGCAAGGCUAAAACUCAAAGGAAUUGACGGGGGCCCGCACAAGCGGCGGAGCAUGCGGAUUAAUUCGAUGCAACGCGAAGAACCUUACCAAGGCUCGACAUGGACCGGAUCGCUGCAGAAAUGUGGUUUCUCCUUUUGGGGCCGGUUCACAGGUGGUGCAUGGUUGUCGUCAGCUCGUGUCGUGAGAUGUUGGGUUAAGUCCCGCAACGAGCGCAACCCUCGUUCCAUGUUGCCAGCACGUGAUGGUGGGGACUCAUGGGAGACUGGCCGGGGUCAACUCGGAGGAAGGUGGGAACGACGUCAAAUCAUCAUGCCCCUUAUGUCUUGGGCUUCACGCAUGCUACAAUGGCCGGUACAAAGGGUUGCGAUACUGUGAGGUGGAGCUAAUCCCAAAAAGCCGGUCUCAGUUCGGAUUGGGGUCUGCAACUCGA
rnacentral:rRNA from 1 species